rnacentral:tRNA from 1 species
GGAUGAUUAGCUCAAUUGGUAGAGCGCCUGCUUUACACGCAGGAGGUUUUCAGUUCAAUUCUGAAAUCAUCCU